AGCUGCUGCGGCACUGGGAGAACACUGCUGAGCUGUGCAGUUUGUACUGCCAGUGAGCGCGCAGAGAGGAGGAGGGGGAGCAAGAGAUAGAAAAAGAGAGAGAGAGAGUGCAGGAGAAUGAAGCAGGGAGAGAGAGCGAACAAUGUCAUUCCAUUCAGCAGGCAAUGCUGCAGUCAACUUUACAGCACCGGAGGAGAAGACACAGCCGCUUGUGCAUCAUCCCUGCAAGACCCAGAGAGGAGCGGAAGCUGAAAGCUGAAGCAGAGGGCGCUGUGCAGAGCAACCAGAACAUGCCUUGACUUGUACCCACUUCUCAGAAAGAAGUUGAGGCUUGUGGUCAGCAACAUUAACUGUGUUUGCCAUCUCAUCCAACUGACCAGUGAAAGACUGGAUAUUAGGAAACUGGAUAUUGGGACAGACUGAAGUGACAAAUAACUAUCACCCAAGUCUCUGCACUGGACCGGAAGUUUCCUGACCUCACCACUACUGAUUGGACUUCUGAUGUCGUCAUAACCAGGAGAAUGAAGGUGAGACGGUUUGCUAGACUUGUUUACGGACUGUCAGACGUUUGUACAUUUAUUUGGUGGUUACUCCGUGAACCAGUGGUUAACUCUCAAGCACCUCGGCUGAUGCCAGAAGCAUGAGUGUGCUGAUAGUAAUGUAUUUCACUGGCUGAAAGGUGGGCUGUGUGAAUUAUUAAUGCUUUCUAGCUCUACAAAUAGAGCUUGCAUUGAUCAACAGUCUCUGGAGUAAACCGAUAUUGUUUAGGAAUGCAAUGUUUGCACUUUGUCUCCCCAUAUAGCCUUGCAAAGACUUGAAGUUCUUGCU